rnacentral:rRNA from 1 species
ACUACGGGGGGCUGCAGUCGAGAAUCAUUCACAAUGGGGGAAACCCUGAUGGUGCGACGCCGCGUGGGGGAAUGAAGGUCUUCGGAUGUUAAACCCCUGUCAUGUGGGAGCAAAUUAAAAAGAUAGUACCACAAGAGGAAGAGACAGCUAACUCUGUGCCAGCAGCCGCGGUAAUACAGAGGUCUCAUGCGUUGUUCGGAAUCACGGGGCGGAAGGCGUGCGUAGGCUGUUUCGUAAGUCGUGUGUGAACGGCGCGGGCUCAACCCGCGGACGGCACAUGAUACUGCGAGACUAGAGUAAUGGAGGGGGAAGCGGAAUUCUCGGUGUAGCAGUGAAAUGCGUAGAUA